rnacentral:rRNA from 1 species
GUUAUAUGGUCAAGCGAAUAAGCGCACACGGUGGAUGCCUUGGCGGUCAGAGGCGAUGAAGGACGUGGCAGCCUGCGAAAAGUAUCGGGGAGCUGGCAACAAGCUUUGAUCCGGUAAUGUCCGAAUGGGGAAACCCACCCGCUUGCGGGUAUCCUGCAGUGAAUACAUAGCUGCUGGAAGCGAACCURGUGAACUGAAAUAUCUAAGUAACCAGAGGAAAAGAAAUCAACCGAGAUUCCGUAAGUAGCGACGAGCGAACGCGGACUAGCCCUUAAGCUGGAUUGGUUCUAGGAAAACGCUCUGGAAAGAGCGGCCAUAGAAGGUGAUAGCCCUGUAUCUGAAAGGGCCAUUCCAGUGAAGACGAGUAGGGCGGGGCACGUGAAACCCUGUCUGAACAUGGGGGGACCAUCCUCCAAGGCUAAAUACUACUGACCGACCGAUAGUGAACCAGUACCGUGAGGGAAAGGCGAAAAGAACCCCGGAGAGGGGAGUGAAAUAGAACCUGAAACCGUGUGCGUACAAGCAGUAGGAGCUCCGCAAGGAGUGACUGCGUACCUUUUGUAUAAUGGGUCAGCGACUUACUGUUCGUGGCAAGCUUAACCGUAUAGGGGAGGCGAAGGGAAACCGAGUCUGAUAAGGGCGCAUAGUCGCGGGCAGUAGACCCGAAACCGGGUGAUCUAGUCAUGCCCAGGGUGAAGGUGCGGUAACACGCACUGGAGGCCCGAACCCACUCCCGUUGCAAAGGUAGGGGAUGAGGUGUGAUUAGGAGUGAAAAGCUAAUCGAACCCGGAGAUAGCUGGUUCUCCUCGAAAGCUAUUUAGGUAGCGCCUCAUAUGUAUCCUCUCGGGGGUAGAGCACUGUUAUGGCUAGGGGGUCAUCGCGACUUACCAAACCAUUGCAAACUCCGAAUACCGAGACGGACUGUAUGGGAGACACACGGCGGGUGCUAACGUCCGUCGUGAAAAGGGAAACAACCCAGACCCACAGCUAAGGUCCCAAAUUYWSUGCUAAGUGGAAAACCAUGUGGAAAGGCACAGACAGCCAGGAGGUUGGCUUAGAAGCAGCCACCCUUUAAAGAAAGCGUAAUAGCUCACUGGUCGAGUCGGUCUGCGGGGAAGAUUUAACGGGGCUAAGCASWGAACCGAAGCUUGGGGUGCAUAACUUUGUUAUGCGCGGUAGAGGAGCGUUCCGUAAGCCGUUGAAGGUGGAUUGAGAAGUCUGCUGGAGGUAUCGGAAGUGCGAAUGCUGACAUGAGUAACGAUAAUGCGGGUGAAAAACCCGCACGCCGAAAGCCCAAGGUUUCCUUGCGCAACGUUAAUCGGCGCAGGGUGAGUCGGCCCCUAAGGCGAGGACGAAAGUCGUAGUCGAUGGGAAGCAGGUUAAUAUUCCUGCACCUCGCGUAAGUGCGAUGGAGGGACGGAGAAGGUUAGGUGUACCAGGCGUUGGUUGUCCUGGGGAAAGGCGGUAGGUUUGGAUCUUUGGCAAAUCCGGGAUCCUUUAAGACCGAGCACCGAGACGAGCCUUUAWGGCGAAGUCACUGAUACCACGCUUCCAGGAAAAGCUCCUAAGCUUCAGCUUACGCAGACCGUACCGUAAACCGACACAGGUGGGUAGGAUGAGAAUUCUCAGGCGCUUGAGAGAACUCGGGUGAAGGAACUAGGCAACAUGGCACCGUAACUUCGGGAGAAGGUGCACCCUUUUUGGUGGCUCGUGCGAGCUAUAGCUGAAGAGGGUCGCAGUAACCAGGCCGCUGCGACUGUUUAUCAAAAACACAGCACUCUGCAAACACGAAAGUGGACGUAUAGGGUGUGACGCCUGCCCGGUGCUGGAAGGUUAAUUGAUGGGGUCAGCCGCAAGGCGAAGCUCUUGAUCGAAGCCCCAGUAAACGGCGGCCGUAACUAUAACGGUCCUAAGGUAGCGAAAUUCCUUGUCGGGUAAGUUCCGACCUGCACGAAUGGCGUAACGACAGCGGCGCUGUCUCCACCCGAGACUCAGUGAAAUUGAAAUCGCUGUGAAGAUGCAGCGUUCCCGUGGCAAGACGGAAAGACCCCGUGAACCUUUACUAUAGCUUUACACUGAACGUUGAGUUCGUCUGUGUAGGAUAGGUGGGAGGCUAYGAAACCAUGGCGCUAGCUGUGGUGGAGCCAUCCUUGAAAUACCACCCUGUCGUGCUUGACGUUCUAACCUGGGCCCAUUAUCUGGGUCGGGGACCGUGUAUGGUGGGUAGUUUGACUGGGGCGGUCUCCUCCUAAAGAGUAACGGAGGAGCUCGAAGGUACGCUCAGCGCGGUCGGACAUCGCGCACUGUGUGCAAAGGCAUAAGCGUGCUUGACUGCAAGAUCGACGGAUCAAGCAGGUAGGAAACUAGGACUUAGUGAUCCGGUGGUUCUGUAUGGAAGGGCCAUCGCUCAACGGAUAAAAGGUACUCCGGGGAUAACAGGCUGAUACCGCCCAAGAGUUCAUAUCGACGGCGGUGUUUGGCACCUCGAUGUCGGCUCAUCACAUCCUGGGGCUGUAGUCGGUCCCAAGGGUAUGGCUGUUCGCCAUUUAAAGUGGUACGCGAGCUGGGUUCAGAACGUCGUGAGACAGUUCGGUCCCUAUCUGCCAUGGGCGUUGGAGAUUUGAGAGGGGCUGCUCCUAGUACGAGAGGACCGGAGUGGACGAACCUCUGGUGUUCCGGUUGUCACGCCAGUGGCAUUGCCGGGUAGCUAUGUUCGGAAGCGAUAACCGCUGAAAGCAUCUAAGCGGGAAGCGCGCCUCAAGAUGAGAUCUCCCGGGGCACAAGCCCCCUGAAGGAACCAUGUAGACUACGUGGUUGAUAGGUCAGGUGUGUAAGUACAGCAAUGUAUUGAGCUAACUGAUACUAAUGAUCCGUGCGGCUUGACCAUAUAACCU